GAGUUUGAUCCUGGCUCAGGAUGAACGCUGGCGGCGUGCCUAAGGCAUGCAAGUCGAACGGGUCCCAUCGCAAGGUGGGAUUAGUGGCAGACGGGUGAGUAACGCGUGGGAACGUACCUAGAAGUGGGGGACAACUCCCCGAAAGAGGAGCUAAUACCGCAUAUGAACGCAAGUUCAAAGCCGCAAGGCGCUUUUAGAUCGGCCUGCGUCCCAUCAGCUAGUUGGUAGGGUAAAGGCCUACCAAGGCUAUGACGGGUAGCUGGUGUGAGAGCAUGACCAGCCACAACUGCACUGAGACACGGGCAGUACAUCUACGGAUGGCAGCAACCGGGAAUAUUGGACAAUGGACGAAAGUCUGAUCCAGCGACGCCGCGUGAGGGAUGAAGGCCUUAGGGUCGUAAACCUCUUUUGUAUGGGAAGAAAAAAAUGACGGUACCAUACGAAUAAGGACCUGCAAACUACGUGCCAGCAGCCGCGGUAAUACGUAGGGUCCGAGCGUUAUCCGGAUUUAUUGGGCGUAAAGGGUUGCGUAGGCGGCGUAUCAAGUCCUACUUUAAAGCCCGAGGCUUAACCUCGGUUCUGGGUAAGAUACUGAUAUGCUAGAGGAAUACCGGGGGAGAUGGAAUU
rnacentral:rRNA from 1 species